UACGUAGGGCGCAAGCGUUAUCCGGAAUUAUUGGGCGUAAAGAGCUCGUAGGCGGUCUGUCGCGUCUGCUGUGAAAACUCAGGGCUUAACCCUGAGCUUGCAGUGGGUACGGGCAGACUAGAGUGCGGUAGGGGAGACUGGAAUUCCUGGUGUAGCGGUGAAAUGCGCAGAUAUCAGGAGGAACACCGGUGGCGAAGGCGGGUCUCUGGGCCGUAAACUGACGCUGGAGGAGCGAAAGCAUGGGGAGCGAACAGG
rnacentral:rRNA from 1 species